rnacentral:lncRNA from 1 species
AGCCAGGCUGGAUUCCAGCCCUUCCGCUCACCAGCUAGGGCCUGAAGAAGAUCUCUGCCUAGAUGAAGUCCAGCUGUUUCCUCCGAAGACCCGUGUUUCUAUAUGUGGCCUUGUGGGGCAACAAGUAGGGAUUUUAAGGCCAGAAAAUCAGAGCAAAGGGUCAGAGGGGCAACCGAUGUCCGUGGCCCUGGAGAACAGCUGCACCUCCGUGCACCCAGAACCAGCUGUCUUGCUUCUUUCUCCUUUUUUUCACUUUCUU